rnacentral:rRNA from 1 species
GACGAACGCUGGCGGCGUGCCUAAUACAUGCAAGUCGAGCGAAGUUUUUCUGGUGCUUGCACUAGAAAAACUUAGCGGCGAACGGGUGAGUAACACGUAAAGAACCUGCCUCAUAGACUGGGACAACUAUUGGAAACGAUAGCUAAUACCGGAUAACAGUAUUUCUCGCAUGAGAGAUAUUUAAAAGUUGGUUAUGCUAACACUAUGAGAUGGCUUUGCGGUGCAUUAGCUAGUUGGCGGGGUAAAGGCCCACCAAGGCGACGAUGCAUAGCCGACCUGAGAGGGUCAUCGGCCACACUGGGACUGAGACACGGCCCACACUCCUACGGGAGGCAGCAGUAGGGACUCUUCCGCAAUGGGCGAAAGCCUGACGGAGCAACGCCGCGUGAGUGCAGAAGGAUUUCGGUUCGUAAAGCUCUGUUGUUAGGGAAGAAUGGAUAUGUAGUAACUAUACAUGUAAGAGACGGUACCUAACCAGAAAGCCACGGCUAACUACGUG